ensembl:lncRNA
AAACAACGCUCUCCCCGAGUUUUAGUCUCUUCCUGAUUAAAUCUUUAUUUCACAAACAAUGACUUUUCUUAUUAGUCCCCCUAUCCUCAAGUUUUUCCAUCCUCAGUGAAAAGGACUGUAUCAUUUUACACAGAACAUAAGUUUGUAAAACUAAACCUAAAAAAAAUUUAAAAAAAGAUCAAACGCACAUGAUAUUUACAUGGGUUUUUCUCCUAGCCAUCUGACCUAUCUCUUCGGUAAAUCAGAUUCCUGAAUUUCACUCAUAAAGCAAGUAUCUUUCAAAUGAGUUCAACCGCGUUUCUAAAUAUAUUUUCCCAGCUGAUGGCGGGAAAUUAGUAUCACUCAAGUGAAAAGCCUGGAGCCCUAACACAGGAGGGCAUUUUUUUUUUUUUACUAGAAUCUGCCUGCUCAUCAUGGGAUGAACAAUGGAACUCAUCUUCCCGAAGAAUGUGCAUCGUAAAUAAUGCAGCAAGAGCUUAGCAAGAAAUCACAGCCUGCCUCUUUUCCCUUCUUGAUCCUCCCCGUAUGCAAAAUAGAUGCCAGUGGAGCAAAGGUGAUGGACCUAAGGAACAGGGAUGCCGAAGCCUAAAAGCAGAGAACCCUUGUCACAGGAACGUUACUCCACCUCCUCAGAGAGCACGCCUGCCUUUUCCCACCACUAAAGAGCUACAGCUUCUAGUUAUGGUCUCUGUAUGUCUCCUACUCCUCAUCCAGGACUCAGUCCAAACACUGGAGGUCAGGGAACAAGGCUUAUGCCCUGUGGACUCGAAAUCCCCUGGACUUAAUGAUACCACGCCAUUUAGGAAGGCUAACUCCAUGGAACCCAUCAAAGAAAGCAGAUUUGCUAGUCUUCCAGGGCCAUCUGGUACUUUGUCCCACCCCUGCCUCCUCCCCCACUGCCAGGCUGGCUGUCUCCUACAGAUGCCCCCCCUGGAUGGGCAAGCACUCCAGAAAAUGCCCCAGGAAACUAGGUCACCGUCACCCCACAGGGCAAGCAAUAAUUAACAUCCUAAAUGUCAUAUUCAAACGAUUGUGCUGCUACAACCCUGAAAACCUAGCAUUUGGAAUCAGAAAACCUGUAUGUUAAAUUCGGUUCUGGUACUCCUUCCUGCUUGCAUGUUAGAAUCGCCUGGAAACCUAAAAAGAAUUAUCAGUGCCAGGCCACCUCCAGAGACUUGGGCUUCGUUCAUCUCAGGUGAGUCCUGGGCACAGGCAUUAUUCAAUGGCUUCCCUGAUUAUUCUAAUGUGUCACCACCACUGAGAAUACACACACACACACCUGAGAGACUUCAAGACAUGUCUUAUUUAAUUUCUUUGAGUCUCAGAUUUUCCACUUGCAAAAUAAGGGUUGUAAUUUCUUACUUGACUUGACAAGGUAUUAAGAAGAUUAACUAGGGUAUAAUAUAGGAAAGUGCUUUGUAAACUAUACACCACUAAAUUUAAAGCAUUUUACAAUAGUGUUAAUAAUUCAAGAUUAUUUAUUGACUUAUUAACACCUGCUCCUUUUUUUAUUUUAUUGUUCUUUCUCUGCCCAUUCCAACAAGUCAUUAAGCACUGUAUGUCCCUUUUUGCUUUGUGUGUGUGUGCAAGUGCAUGUGUGUAUGAUUUUUAGGGACAAAACAAGUUUCUGGGAAUUAGAAGCUUCUGCAACCCAGGCUAUUGGAAAAGCUGAGGCUCCUGGAGUAGCUGGAGCUCAGGAGCAAGGACACACAGACCAGCCUUCUGCAAACGUAGGAGAGGAAGUCUUGGAAUCGAGUGCCCAGACUUGGGAGGGAGGGGUUUAAGUUUGGGGGGAGGGGAAUAUAGUCACAAAACUCCCCCCAAGUCCUUCUAGGAUUGUCAGGAAGCCGGCUUCAUGCCUCAGUCCUGCAAGGGAGAGGCCUGACCUGUCCAAUGGAGGUCCGGGAUGUGACCCCUCAGACUCAGGGGCCUGAGGUCUCCCUCUAGUAGGUCACCAGAGCAGCAGAACUCACCAUCUGGAGGUGACACUCCUCUGAUCAGAAUUCACAUUUCUACCAGCUCAGAGGAAUGCUGGAGUAGCUUGUUUUGAGUUCUAGAACUAACAAAAUUAAACUAUUAUUCAACACUGAUCAAGUAGAAUAAAACUUCGGGGCUAAGAGUUCUCCACUUAGCAAAAGUUCAACGAGACGUGCUGUGGACCUCAUAGCUACUCUAUGAGUUUGUCCUUUAGACUCAACAAAAUAGGGAUAAUCAUGACAGAAAUGGUAAUAACAUUUGCUACUCUCUAUGAAAUACAUUUGUUCUCUCUUAUGAAAAGACUCAAAUGAGAUAGUGUAUUUGAAAGUGGAAAUCUGUGCAGUCAGCAGAAGGGAUUAAGAGGACGUGGCUGUGCCAUAGUCAGUUAUGUGUGCAAGAGCUGGGUCAAAUCCUACUCAGUAGCUUUUAAAAAGCUCUAAGCUGAAUGCGGGGGAAAUUCAGAAUAAUACUGAAGAAUAAAUGCCCCAUUUAGCAUCAGUCAUUAAAUGAUUUCAAACUGAGAGUCCCAGAGCCCAGGGGGAGUUUGCGGGCUCAAAUCAGGGCUGAGAAUCAGAGAAACUGCAGAUUCAAAUCAAAGUGGAAUCCAUCCCACUUGUAAGGUUUGGAUUUGGAGUCCAGUUUGACCAAGACAAGUUCGAUCUGUCUCUCAUCAUUUUGAGAAAAAAAUUGCCCCAGAUGUCUGCCACUCUAGAUCUCAUUCUGUAGCCAAAUCCUCUGAAUUCACGAACUCAGCCUAUAAAUGAUGUAACCCAACUUACUUGGGAUAGGAAAUUGUUUCCAUAAAAGAUAAAUAGGUGAUCAUAAAUAAUCCAGAAAGGUUUUAGAAUCAAGUAUAUUGAUGACAUAAAUCAAAUUCAUUGUAGGAAGACUUUUGUGUUAAGUUGAGGAAUAACUAUUUGUGUACUUGAUAUUUUGAGUGCUUAAAAUGUUUAAGAGAAUUUAGCAUCCUCAAGGAUCCGAAAGAUUAGCCGUGGUAUUACAAUUUUUAAUGUAAUUAAGUAAUUGAUUUGAACUUAUUUUAAGUUGAAAGUGAAAAGAAUAUUUUACCAAGUUUUAAAGUAAUAUUAGAACAUAUAAAACCGACCAGAAUCACCAUAUUUUCUAAACUAAAUAUUAAAUUUGUCAACCUGUACUAUAUUACAAUCUAUGUCUUUGCAUCUAUAUUUGGCAUUUAGGGGUAAAACACUGAAGCAUUUCUAAUAUCAAAUGGAAACAUCCAUACCUUUUUUCUAGGUAAUGUUUGUUGCACUAAACAUGUUUAAUCCCUUAUUUUAGAGCUUUAGGCACAAAGGAGUUGAGAAAAGUCAUUUAAACCAAUUCUCUAGUCAUGUCAGUGAAGAAAUAGAAACAGAGAAGAUAAAUGAUUUGCUCAAACUAUGAAGCUAUUUAAAUAAAAAACCAGCAAGAGACAUGAGCCCCUCUCCCAGCUGAGUAUUUUCUCUAAGGUAUCAGCUUGGUUUCUUGUUUAAUGAGAUGAUAUCGUUCCCACUGAUAGCAUCUUAGUCUGAAUUCAGUAGCUGGUUCUUAUUUUUCCAGACAAAGAGAAAGUAUUUAAGUUGCCCCAGUCUUUACAGCUGAGAACAUUCCUCUUCCUGUUUGUGCAAAUUCUCUCCUUUGUACAUAACAGGAAGGCUACCACUCUAACCAAACUCCACCUGCAUCUUUCUUAAAAACCACUGGAAAAUCCCACUGACCCAAACAACGUAUUGUUCUAGCCACAACUUACCCAUUAUUCAAAAACACUGACUUUCUUAAUGUUCAAUAUUCUAUGUUCAGUUUCACCACUGUAACAAAUAACUUAUUCCACGUGAGACUUUGUGAAGUACUUAAAACAUGGAAUAAUCCUCCUAGGACCUAUUGGGGAAAGAUCUUAUGCUGCAAGAACACUGAUUGCUUUAUUUCUGCUACAAGCACAAAUCGAGGUCCUGUUCUAAAGUGUUAACAUUUCUCUAGAGGUAGAUGGAGAACAGCUCGGGCAGGGGAGGAACUCUGGCUCACGGUGGACAAAGCACUUACAGCCCUUGGAAGAGAGAUGUUGUGCAAAUGCAAAGCUAUUAUUAUAUGAAAGCAUUCAGAGGAUAAUAUUAGCCAUAAUUGUAUUAAAUAUUAAUAUUAAUGCAAAUGGUGGCUAAGAGCUUAAAGAAGAACGGUAGACGUCAAUAAUAAAUGGAGUAAAGCUAGGCAAUGCUCUUGUAUUUCUAACAAUGCAUGCCAAGCAAACCGAGCAAACUGAGGACUAAUAAUAUUGUCGGCAGUCAUGUUGUUCAUAUUUAACUCUUUCAGAUCAAAAGAAAAAAAAAAGCUGAAAAAAAAGAACCCAAAGUUGUCAAACUUUUUUCAAUCAGCAUCACAAAUUGGACUUAAACUCAAUUUGCCUUAUUUCCAUAGGUGAUUGCUUUAAAAAAAUUUUUUUUGGAACAGAGUUGACUUAUUAUAUUAGUUUUGGGUAUACAGCAAAGUGAAUCAGUUAUACAUAUACAUAUAUCCAUUCUUUUUUCCCAUACAGGUUUUUAUAGACUAUCAAGUAGAUUUCUCUGUGCUGUACAGCAGGUCCUUGUUAGUUAUCUCAACUAGGCAUAGUAGUGUGUAUAUGACAAUCCCAUCCCCCUGCUUAUCCUUCCCCCCCCCAACAGUUUCCUCUUUGGUAACCAUAAGGUUGAUUUCAAAAUCUGUGAGAUGGUUUCUGUUUUAUAAAUAAGCUCUUUUUAUCAUUUUUAUUAGAUUCCACGUAGAAGUAAUAUAGGAUAUUUGUCUUUCUCUGCCUGACUUACUUCCCUUAGUAAGAUAAUUUCUAGGUC